GCAUGUUUCAGUGGGUACAAAAGCAUCGCAGUCGCGUGGAUUUUCCUUUGUGCAUAGCUGAGAUUGAAAAUUAGAUUAAUAGUAAGACAUUUCUAAUGUCAAAAACUCCUGCGUCGGUUAAAGCAUCGACUUCAUAAAAUCCAUGCAUCUUUUUUUCUGACGAAAACAACCUCAACCAGAAUCGAAGGCAUAGUAUCCAGCGAGGGGGUCGCAUUUUUUGAUAAAGAACUAAAUGUAACAGCCGACGCAUACUUGAAGGUUCUCCAUUACGUUGUAUAUUGGACGAAGAAGGUUACUACUGGCCGUCAUUUCAUCUUUCAAUAAGUCGAAGUACCUUUCAAUAAGUCGAAGUACCUGCUUAUAAUGCUACAAAAACGCAGAAAUGGCUUGCUGAAAAUAUACCGGGGUUAUGGUUCCCUGGCAGUCCUGAUAUAAUGGUUUUGGAUUUUUUGUGUGGGGCGCCAUCAUGCAGGAUAC